UGCAGGGCUGUGGCCCUCACCUUUUUUUCUGUGUGUAUUUGUAAAAUGUAAUAUUGUAAAACGUUAACGUCCGUUUUUGAGAAUUAUUAUUAAUUUUUAAAGUCGAAGUAGCACGUGUAUUUAGAACGUCAGAUAAUACUACAGACGUUCUAAUAAGUCAGUAGCCUCCUAUCCGUCCUGAGUCACGCACUCGAAAGGCAACCACUCGUCAUUCUUUCGACUGUGAUUCUCUUUCUGAUUUCUAAACAGCACGUCUUUUUGUUAUGUCUUGGAUUCUCAACUUUCGACGCCAUUGGCUGCUUCUUGGUGGUCUGGGUAGCCCCUCCCCCAGCCUCCGCCCAGCUCUUGCCGCGAGUGUCGGAUCAUCACGUUGGUCAAAGAUUCAGAGCCCCCGUUGUUGUCGCUAUCGCGCUUAUCACUGAUAUGUCAGAUUCUGCACCCAAAUUGAUAAACCCCUCUGAAAACAGGGUCACAGGUGUGAGGCCACCUGCCGCUUCCACUUCCUGGGAGAUGCCCCUCAGAUCCUGCCGUCCGUCCACCUGCAUCAGUUGUGCAGCCCGGGCUGGCCCGCCUCCCUCUGUGCUGGUCCUCCCGCGUCCCCCGUGUCCGCGUGUUCCCUGACCGCAGGCCUGCCGGCUCGGAGCGGCCCCCGGUGGCGCGCUUCUCACUGGGUCCUCGGCGGGUGGGCUCAGCAGGGCCCUGAGCUCGGAAGUUGCUGUCAGGUCUGCCUCCCUCUCUGGAGGCUCUGGGGAGGCUCUGCUUCCAGCUCUUUCAGAUGUUUGGCGGACUCCAGUUCCUGCGGUUUGGAGGGUUGGGGUCCUGCUUUCCUGCUGGCUGUGAGCCGGCGCCACGCUCGGCUCCCGGAGGGCAUCUUCAGAGCCAGCCGCGGGAGGUCUCACGCACUGGAUCCCUCUUGCUUUGAAUUCGAUGGCCAGAGUUAGCCCCGUCCUGAUUCAGGGCUCGCCUGAUUAGGUCAGGCCCGCCGAGGGUCACGGCCUUCAAGUCGCUGUGCCCUGCGAUGUGACCUAACCCCAGAGUGAAACCCACCCGCUCGCAGGCCCAGGGCUGUGCAACCGUCAUCGCCGGGAGCAGGGCCGGGGGGUGUCCUGGGACCAUCUUCGCCUUGCGCCUGCUGUGGAAUUGAGUGUCUUGCUCUUGACUUGUUCUUCUUUUGGUGGGACCAGACCCCCUCUGGCGUCGAGGAAGAGGAGGGGGUCUGGAGGCCCUGCCCCCAGCGUUCGGUGGCUGCCGAGCGAGCGCCAGCUGCGUGCGUGAUGGAGGUCUUGGCCCUGCCUCCAAGGUGUCUGCGUGGCGGGUGGGAGCCGGUCAGCUCUACUUUUCCUUCCUCUGUGCGUGGUCUGUUUCCUCCUCCCCGAGUCCCUCUGGAAUUUUUAGGAUCUCCUGAUAACUCUUCAGAGGUCUGAAAUUUCAUGGUUCGCUUCGAUGUACGUCUUUCCCCAUUCACUGUGCCUGGCGCGUUGAAGCUGGAGUUUCUGGAAGUUUUCUGGAUUGUUUUGGUUGAUUUCCUCCCCUCGUUUUGUCUUUUCUCUUUCUGAACCUCCUGUUGGAUGUUGGACCUGCUUUCUGAGAGACUUUUAAAUUUUCCAAUUAGAUCCUUGUUCCCAGAUUACCUUUCGUAGCAUCCCGUUGUGCUCCUGCUCCUCUGAGUGCGGUGUCACGGCGCUCUCUCUUUUCAAGCUCCUCUCUUUCCUUCACCCUCUUUUACUUUUCCUGCUUCUGUCUUGGCCUCUGUCGUUCACGUCGCAGGCUUUCCUCACGUCCCCGUCAGAGGCCCCGGGAGCUCACCGGCUGCUCUGUGCCUGGCGGGCCGUGCCCCCCACCGCCUGCGGCUGCCCCUCCUGCACAGCGUCCCGGGAGCCGAGUGGCGUGGGGCUGGGCCUGCCGUCCGGGGCUAGGACCGCGCCUCUGCUCCCUGCGCUCCGGGACACUGGGCUUCUCAGCUCCUGCAGCUCGCUCCCCUCCCUGCCCCACCCCCUCCGGCGUGGCCCUCGGGCCCCGGGGUCGUCCGGGCCGCCCUCCACGCACUCGGUCUCCACGGCGCUCUCCUCACCCUUCCAGCUGUUUGCCGUCCUCUGAGAAUUCGGUGCUGUCUCUCCCAGUUUUAUUUCCUUCAUUCUUUCUGUUUCUGCCUUCUCUGUUCCUUCGCCGUCGCAUGCGGGGGUUCCAGAAGGAGCAAAGGGGAGUGCGUGUUUUCGGCCGGUCUGCAUGGUCCUCUGCGAUCACCCGCCCAGCCGUCACUCCCAUGUGAUGGUCAUUCUGUGGCCACAGGAGACAGUGUCCGUCUUCCCUGUGUCCCGCACGGCCACGCCCCAGCGCCAGCAGGCUGCGGUUGUGUCCACUGACUGUCCCUGAGGCCAUGCACAGAGCUCUCCGGAAGCCUCCCUGCUCAUCAAGGGGUAUAUGGCUCCAGCUGCCAAGGACACUCGUUCUUUCCCUGGUUAGAGCUGUUUUUUCAGCAAACGUAAUCUUGCCUUUUGUUGCUG